UGACCACUUCCUCUCUGGAAGUUAAGGCCAUACGGACAGCCGGGUCAAAUGCCGA
rnacentral:sRNA from 1 species